UUGUGUGUUCCUAAAAAUCAAGGAGGAACAGGAUUUCGUGAUGUUCACUGUUUCAACUUGGCGUUGCUAGCCAAACAGGAACGACGUCUGUUGGAUAAUCCUGAUUUCUUGUGUGCUUCUAUCCUGCGGGCAAAACAUUACCUCGAUGGUGAUUUGUUAAAUGCUAAGCUAAAGAAAGGCUCUUCCUUUACAUGGCAAAGUAUCAUGGUAGGCAAAAAUACACUGAAACUUGGCUAUAUUUGA
rnacentral:rRNA from 1 species